AAGGUGCGUUUGUGCCCAUAGGCGGCCCUCUCUCAGCCUAUUGCGAACAGUCUGAGCACUGAUUGAGGGAUUGUGUGUUCCUUGUGUGACUCGGGCAGUUGUUGUGGCCAUCCUGUACCUGUCACGCAGGUCUGAUAUUCAGAUGUACCGAUCCUGUGCAGGUGUUGUUAGACGUGGUCUUCCACUGCGAGGAUGAUCAGCUGUCCUUCCCGUCUCCCUGUAGCGCUGUCUUAGGUGUCUCACAGUGCGGACAUGGCAAUUUAUUGCCCUGGCCACAUCAGCAGUUCUCAUGCCUCCCUGCAGCAUGCCUGAUGUACAGUCACGCAGAUGAGCAGGGACCCUGGGCAUCUUUCUUUGGGUGUUUUUCACAGUCGGUAGACAAGUCUCUUUAGUGUUCUGCGUUUUUAGAACUGUGACCUUAAAUGCCUACUCUCUGUAAGCUGUUAAGGUCUUUACGACCAUUCCACAGGUGCAUGUUAAUUGAUUGAUUAUGGUUAUUUGAACAUGCAUGGAAAACAUUAUUUAAACCCAUUUACAAUGAAGAUCUGUAAAGUUAUUUGGAUUAUUACAACAUUAUUGUUGAAAUACACAGUCCUGAAAAAGGGACGUUUCUUUUUUUGCAGAGUUUAUGUUCAUGAUGAAUGCCUCUACUUUGAUCAGAGCUUCUAUUUGUUUGAAACCAUGGACCCACAUUUGGGUAUGUAGGGCUGAAGAUGCACCUGUCACCUACAAGACACUCACUGGUCAGUUUUGUAAUCCCAUUUUGACCUAAUAGAGCUGUGCCCCAUAUGCUGGGUUACUUGCUGCCCUGCUGAGAACUGCUGCUCCUGCUAUGAUUAUUAAUCACAUUAUAAUCACUGUUAUCAUGGACCAAGAUUACCGACUCUUUGUGCUUUCCCUCCCCACAGGUUUUGGUGAAUUGUGGUUCUAUCUGAAGGUGAUUGUACCUGCCGUACACCUGGCUUACCACUCUGUCUGUACUAAUACUUCUGAUCUUUUCUGUCAUACGAAUUGAAAUAAAUGUAUUUAUAUAUAUAUAUAUGUGUAUAUAUAUUUUACGUUGUUCAUUCUGUCCAUCCCGGGAGGGAUCCCUCCUCUGCUGUAAGGUUUCUUCCUGUACCAAUGUGAAGGUUUUGGGACAGAGAAUGUCAAAUGUGUGCAGACUGUAAAGCCCUCUGAGGAAAAUGUGUGAUCAGUGAUUUUGGGCUCUACCAAAUAAUAGAAUUUAACUGAUGUCUGACUUGUAGAAGAUCUAAUGAGGAGCGGUUUUCAUUAUUAUCUUGACACCAGUCAUAAAAAAGCAUAAUGCAAUUUUAAAAUACCUUCCCCUUUGCCUGGGAUGUUCAGAGUUAGGUUCAUUGAUGCAUCACUUGAUAUGUUAAAAUAUAAUAAAAUUACUGCCAUACAAGUGUUAAUGUACAUACAUAAAAUACUUAUGUAUAUACUGUGUGUCACUCUGGGAUAUUCUGAACAAGUGAGUUGGCCAGGUUGCAGUGUUGUUUAAUUUAGUUCUGUUGAAACAAUCUAAAUGUAAAUUGGACCUCUCUAUCUGUGUCUCCCAGACUGUAAUGAGAAGAGAAUUUAAAUGACCUGUUUGCUUUUUAUCUAUACUGACUCAAAAAUAAAAAUGUACAGAGAAACAACUUCUGCGUAAACAAAAAUAAAUGAUGUAUAGCAAAGGAGGGAAAAACUCAACUUAUGCAAUAAAAGGUUUUAUCAGGAUUGUAGUACAUAAUUGCUUUGGCGAUUGUUUAAAAAUAAUUGUUACAGGAUCAGCUGUUUAAAUUGUGCACACUGUGAGAUUUGACUGAGGACACUCGUGGCUUUCAAAUCAAUUGGGCUUACCAUUUUUAGUUGUCCUUGGGAUUUCUCCUUGCACUACGCAUAACAUAUUAAGAUAACAUUUUAGCUAACACUGCGUCUCCAUGUCUUCCCUCUGCUACUAUUACAGUUCUGAAUGUACAACAUGUACAACACUGCAGUUUCUGUGAGCAACUAGAAAUGACAAAACUAUACAGUUUGAAAGUCGGAUUUUCAGGAAUCAGGAAAGAUUUAUUACCAUAAUAUGUGGGUUAGUUUCAAACGAACAAAAGCUAAAAGUUAAGAAGGUAAAAAUAUUUUAAAAUUAAAAAUAAAGUGACAAGUGUGCAGUGUGAAAAGUCAUGUUCUGCCUUCAGAACCUCGGGUAUUUUAAAAUGUGAGUUAGAGUAAUUUUAUUAGGAAUACGGUUGAAAUCAAAAGUUUGGAAGAUUGCACAAUAGCAAUAGCCUGAAGAUGCUGAUUUAGGACAUUGAGCUUGUUUUACCCUAAAUCACUUAAUUCUUCAGCCUUUUUGAGUGUCUGUUCCAGCUGUAUUGUAUUUCCUAGCAGUUGCCCAGGAAAGAUUUUACUCACGAUCGUCUAUUUCAAAAGAGCAGCAUUCUUGUCUAACAUUUAACAAGUUCACAUACGAUGCGAACGACCAUAACCAUAAUGUAUCAGUAGCCAUCCAUAUGUUAUCUGAAGGGGCUGGAGGAGUCAGUGUUGGGCUAUUAGGUGCUGACUGAAAGUCAUUUUGGAUUUACAAAUCAGUUGUCACUGUCUGGCAAGGGAUACACAACCCUUUUCAACUUCAACUCAAUGUGUCGUCUUCUCUACACUGGAUGGGUGCUCAGGUCAAGCCAACCCUCCAGAUACUUCAUGUAUAUCAUGUAUUAAUCCCAGGGAGGGUUUUUUAAAAAACAGCAUUCACAGUAUUCACCUCAUUUGGACCUUUUCCCAUUUUGUACUGUUACGAACUGGAGUACAAGCAAUUUUUCUCCCUUUUAUUAACACAACAUGGACAGUGCUUUAAAUGUGCAAAUUAACUUUAUUGUGGCGAACAAUAAUGAAAACUUAAACAUUUAAAUCCGAGAAACUUCUGUCUGGAAAGGUCUCCGACAGCUGACCAAUGACAUGAAUAAACCCCCCCACUCCAUGAAUGACCUCCGCAUAGCAAACGAGCUAAAUAAAAGCUGGGUAAAACUCUUCUUAACUUCAUCAGGGCAACAGCAUUAAACCACAGACAGCUGGUUGCUCUCCUGGAGGAGAACACGGGGAGGCCACCACACACCGGUCAGGAGGCUCAGCCUGGGCAAAGUGCUUCAGAGAGAAGAAAGCCAAAGGUGCAGACUGUCACCCACUUGCCUAAAGUGAAAGGAGCCACACCUUCAGCCGAUGACCUCCUGAGGCACUCGUCCGUGUUAGGAGCACUGCAUGCAGAGUUUACGGGGCCAUUCCAACACUUCAAAACCGUCAAGCAUGAAAUGCACAUGAUCUCUUCUGCAGUGUGGAUACGUAGCAGUUGUAUCCUCUCUUGCGUUUUGUUAGUAUUCCAGUAUAACAGAUGUGUUUUGGCAUGAAAUUGAAUCGACACCAAAGAUGAUCUUUUUUAAGUUGUAAGAUGACCUUCUUAACUACUCAAGACACUGCAGCAACGUUACUGCCCCACAACAUACCGUCAGUAUACAAAACGCCAUUGUGAAGGUAGGACGAGACUACAAAAAGGGAAGGUGUCAUUUACGCAGGGAAAAAAAAUGGCAAAAUAAAAUUCACUCACGUUUAACAGAAUUGAUUUAAUUAAAAAAGCGACAGAAAUCACAAACCCCAAACAGAAAAGGUAAUGUACAUUUAUAACUCACAGUCACACCAGUACACUGGAGUCCACUAUUGCAGAUUACGGCAUACAAGGGCAUAAUCUGGCCAACAUACAGCAGUUUGCGUCCUCAGAAGAACACCUUUGGAAGCUUUUAUAGCCAAACAAAAUACACAAUGUGAGCUAACUGCUCAUUAGCAUGUAGCUCGUGGAGCUUCGCUACGGACCAUCUUACCACUCAGACAGCAUGCGGCACACUAACCUCAGGCCCCACUAGAGGGCGCCCACGUAAUACCCCACCUCGCCGCCUCUAACGCUCCAUUGCUCUGUUCGUGAUGGCAAGUGGAAUCCUACGUCCUCUUACACUCCCAGUGACCUGCAGUCUGAUUCAGUACGUGAAGAGUGAUUUAAGUCGGUAUCACUGCUGGGUCUUCAUUCCUCCCACGAAGAGGAGAACUUUACACACACAAGGAGGAGCUCAGAAGAUGUUCCUUUUCUUCCUACCUACACAUGUGAACAAACAUUCCCAGGGAUGAAGUUCAACCAAUCCCGAUCACCCGUCAAUGUCCUUUGCAUCUCCACCUCAGACAUCAAAGCGUCAAAGCACUUAAGCCCAAGACGGACUGGAUUUCUCUCACUGAGUUCAUCAAAUGCUUCUCUUUAACAUGCAUCUCUUCAUGUAUUUUUGUGAAGGUUUAACGGUAUAUUUUUUACAUUUUUAUUUCAUUUUAUUCAUUAAAAUAAGUUCAGAACUAAAUAAUUAACUGUUCGUUUAUGAAGUAAUACAAUUUCGGCACAACCUUUUCAUUCGGCCUUCCACAGCGGUCCCAAUUUAUCGUGUGGCCCCUUGGGAAAAUGGCCCACCCCUCGGAUACGGGGUCUCUCCAGCAUCACAUCCAGCAGGAGGAGCUGUGGCCUGUUUCAGUUGUGCAAGCUGUUGAUGGAAUGCGACUCUCCAGCUGAGCAUUCACAUAUUAUUACUGACUUCACGAGGUUUCUCAGCGCCCGCUUGACUGAUCACAGCUUGCUCUUCUCACCACAGAGUUGUUGACAGGUUGCAAUUACAAGGUACUCCACGUCAAGUGAUAGACUUUUUAUUGUUUCAAUUAAAAACAAAUGUAGCAUGCAGAGAUGAUUUGCAGCAGUCUGCGAAGGCCACAAUUAAUUGUUAAAUAAUUUGUGAGCAAGCAUUAAUAUAGCGUACAGCCCCGUGGUGUCUGAUAACCAAGACCCCGACUGGGGGGGCACACUGACACGCUGAGACGUCACGACUAUAAAACAUGACACAGCGUCUGCACUUUGGUUUGUGGGGGAAACUGGGUUUCUACAUUUCCACACGUACUCUAGAUAUAUGCAGGAAGAUGAUGAUUUACAGCUUGACAGAGGACUGCAACUCAUUAAUCCACAACAGGUUCUAAAUACACUCAUUUAUAUGGAAUUGUUCUCUUCAUUUCAGUGAAGAACAGAACUAUCAUUCACUAGCAAACUACUCUGUCCUUGUGUUUGUGCAAUGUCUCAUCUUUUAGAUAACAUUAUCAUUGCAGGCCUAUUACAAGCAACAGGAAAAGGGUGGAAAAAGAUUCUUAUGAUUGUCCUUACAUCAGUGCUGCCAAUUAUUUUAUAAGAAGCUGUAGAAUGAUGUAAAAUAACAGCAUAGUGUGUUCCAAAACGGCCUCUGACUCAUCUCAGUGAAGGCUUUUCAGGAGUCGUUUAUACAAAAUGUGUGUUACUAAAACAGGACAUGGAGUUUAAACAAAAAACACAAUGCUCAGUUUUAAGAGAAACCUCAGUUGAAUUCUUCACCUGCUCGACUACUUCUGGUGCAAUUUGAAGAAAACUUCACUAAUUGUUGUAAGAUGAGGAAUAGUUUUUAAUUUUCUCUUCUCAGAUUGCAAUCACCAAGGGAAUAUCUGGUUUAUGAUGUGAAUAUGUGCAGCAGCCUCUGUCUUUCAUUAUUGUUAACCAUGGGAGAAUAUUGACCUGAAGAGAGACCACAAAAUAUCUUCAGGGCUGCUGUUUGAUCUUCAAACACAAUAAACAAGACUCAAAGUCUUAUUUGAAUCCUGCACGCAGGCCCUAGAGGCUACAAUCUUCAAUAGCGCACCAUAUAAGACAAGUCAAGUUUAUUAGUGUAAUGCAUUUCAACAAAAAGGCAAGUGCAUCACAAAAAAACAUUAAAACCAUGAAAAGGAAAAGGAAACAUAAAAACAACUUCUAAGAUGUGUAGUUUAAGAUGAGGAUGUUAAUAGUUUUAUUCACCCGUUAUAUGUUCUUCAGGUGAUAAUAGGCUGUUUGUUAUUUGGCCAAGGACACUUCAACCCUCAGUGGGACACACCUUAUUGGAGGCCACUCAGUAGGAUCAAAUAUUUAUUCAUUGGAGUAUUUCCUUCUGUGCUGCGAAUACUUACCUGUCUCAUCCCCCCCCCCCCACCAGAGAGACUCGUCUCUCCGACAUUCCUGUCUCCCAGGAAUGAAACCAUUCUCAUCCCGCACUUCCUAGUCCAUGUCCACAUUUGGGUCCGCCACCACAGCCCGGGACAAGUGGACGGUCUAAAUGUUAUAUAGGUAUAUUUAUUGUUGCCAUGGGAGACUAAGCUGCUAACAUGGGGUGCAGAUUUGAGCAAACCGAAAACAAAAGGAAACAAAGAUCCUCCUCUAUUCAGCUCUUUUUUUGCCAUGUAUGAUGUUUGUGUUUGUAUUCCAUGAGAAAUGUUUUGCUGGAAAAAUUCAACAGAAAUGUAAAUUUAAUCUGUGGAAAUGUUCAUAGUCACAAAAAUACGAGUUGCUGUCAAUCAUAUCAGCUGUUCUGAUCAGCUGGCCUCUUUUAUCCAAUAGCACAAAAGAACGACUGUCUGACUGCUUCCCUCAUCCUUUAAGUAUGUGAAUGCUGGUGUUACUCAUGCCUGGUCUUCACAGAUUCAUCAGCCACCACCAGUUUCCAGACAUCCAGUUGCUGCUUAGAGCCGACGCACCUCGAUUACAAAUCCCCUUGUAGUCGCAGGACUUCAUCAGCACACAUUAAUGUGAUCUUUUCCUCAUCUAACUUGUCUCUCCUGAUUGAAAUAAUAGCAGAGGAUGGAAACUUCCUUCGUUUCCUUUUGGCUUAAACCUCGACAUUUUGUCUAAACGGGUGCUUCAUUUGUAUAAAUCUGACUGAUUAAGUAAAGCUUAUUUCAUCAAAAAAUCAAAGAUUAGUGUAUAAACAGUGGUCCCCAACCACCGGGCCGCGGACCGUGAGCCGUUUGGUACCGGGCCGCAAAAUAUAUAUUUUUUCUGAAAAAUGUUUAUAUUUUGAAAAUGGAUAUUCG
ensembl:lncRNA